rnacentral:rRNA from 1 species
UGCGUAGGCGGCUGAUUAAGUCGGAUGUGAAAUCCCUGAGCUUAACUUAGGAAUUGCAUUCGAUACUGGUCAGCUAGAGUAUGGGAGAGGAUGGUAGAAUUCCAGGUGUAGCGGUGAAAUGCGUAGAGAUCUGGAGGAAUACCGAUGGCGAAGGCAGCUUCCUGGCAUAAUAUUGACACUGAGAUUCGAAAGACGUGGGUAGCAAACA